ensembl:scaRNA
GAUGGAAGCUGCAGAACCAACCAUGUAGACAAACAAGAAAAUAUCUUUUGUCUGCAGAAGGUAACAAUCCUACAUAAACAUGAGAUCUCUGGACAUGCCUUUCCAUAUAAC